GAAGUGGCAACGACACGGUCGGCGGGGGUCGGGGGACGGCCAUCAAAUGUUAUACGCGAGGUUCCAAUCUUGGUUCUACACAUACGCUGUUCGUUUCCAGUCCUUAAAAUCCUUAGUUCUUAUACUCACAGACGGACCAUACGAGGCAAUCGCGGCCAUAGAUAUAUAUUAUAGAGCCUUUCUCGGAGGAUCGUAUUACUACUAUUAUCUGUGUUAAUUUUUAACAGUCUGAUCAUACAUUUAUGUUCAUUAUAAAUUGUGUGUAUUUGACAAAUUGGACGUAUACAAUACUACGACUCAUUACCAUUUGAAAUAUUUUGAUCAAAAUAUUCAGCCUGUAAUGCGUCAAAAGCAGUAAUUGCAGAGAUCUUACCAGAAAAGGACUCAUUAAAGUAAAUAAUGUACAGUUAU